GCCCCCGCAGGAAGGCGCGCUCCCCCCGCCUUCAGCCCAGUGACUCAGCAUCUCAGACAAACUCAGCAGUAUAGGAACAGUAUAGUAUAUAUCACAAAACUCAAGGGCUUUGCUGAGGCCCUGUGGUAGAGAAUUUCGACAUUUCCUGGACUUUCUAAACUUGUCUCCACUGUCUGAUCCUCCUAGGAUCCGGUGCACGGGCUAGGUCAUCUUGCUGAAGAAGGCACUUGAGGCUGAUUUCGGCAGGCUCUUGUUCGCUUUCUGCACCAGGUUCAGAUUGUGGUUAAUCUGUGGCUGUGGAUCCCAAGAACGGUCUCCAGCUCGCGGACCUGUUGGUUUUUUACUCUGCGGUUUGCAUUGCUUGCCAAAAAAUCCCUUGGCUGUUGAAUUACUCGAGACAGGUCCUUGUUAUGUAUCCCUGGCUGUCCUGGAAUUGGCAAUGUAGACCAGAGUGCUGGAAUUUAAGGCUGCACCAACGUUCAGUUCCUAUCAGGAGAAGUUGAAGCCUAGACUGGAUAUCUUGACCUUUCACUCCAAGCAGUCAUGGAUCCCUCACUCCUUCCGUCCUCUGUGUCCAUCUCCUCCUGCCUUGACUGAAGCUGCUUCCUUUAGGACCUGCUUCACUUCACUGUGCUCCUGCUUAACUCUGACCCUUUAUACAGUGUGUCAGACAAAGUCCCUGCUUUGUCCGUGUAGACUCUUUCAGUGGCUCCUCAUCUCUAAGCAAAAAUCAAGAUCUUCACAAUGAUUUGCAAGCCACUGGGUGGAUUUCCUUUUCUCCGAUGUCACCUCUACGAUUUCUUCCCCUCAUCGGCUGGCUCCACUCCAGCCACAUGUACCUUCCAUUUGUGGGACACCUCUGAGUGCUCUUGUCUCAGAUUUUACCGUGUCUCUUCCCUUUGAUAGACCACUUUCCUUCCAGGUAGCAAACUGGCUCAUUUUUGCCCCUUCAUGCUUUUACUCAAAUGUAAUAAAAGCCGAUUUUUUUUUUUUUUGGUUCUUUUUUUCGGAGCUGGGGAUCGAACCCAGGGCCUUGCGCUUCCUAGGCAAGCGCUCUACCACUGAGCUAAAUCCCCAACCCAGCCAAUUAUUUUCUUAACCAUCUGCUUAAAGGAAAUGCUUAUUUCCAAAAUGUAUAUAUAUUUCUGAUAUGUAUAUAUUUUUAAAAUAUGUAUAUAUUUUAAAAAUUUGUACACAUGGGCUGGUAAGAUGGCUCAGUGGUUAAGAGCACUGGGUACUCUCCCAGACGUCCUGAGUUCAAAUCCCAGCAACCACAUGGUGGCUCACAAUCAUCUGUAAUGAGAUUCGAUGCCCUCUUCUGGUGUGUCUGAAGACAGCUACAGUAUACUCAUGUAUAAUAAAUAAAGAAAUCUUUUUUAAAAAAUAUAUACAUAUACUUUCAUUUUUAUUA
ensembl:lncRNA